ensembl:lncRNA
CACACCAGCUUUGCACCUCAGGAGCCUCUUGUAGCCUCUCAUCCUGCAAUAUUUCUUGUGUCACCACCUCAUGCCUGGCUUGGUGACCUCGGCUGCCUCCAGCUCUCUUGCUGCCCAAAGAUUUAUAGAAAAGAUACUGGAUUGGAACCUUCAAAAUGAAGUUAUCUGGACACAAAAUAGGAUAAUAAUAUAUACUGACGAUGCUGCAGCUCGGUGCCCAAGCACAGCAAGGAGUGCCUUUGCCUUCCCCAGCUUGAAGCAGCAACUCUGAGCCAUGCAAAACCAGGCCACUGCACAACACUGGGUCAUGCAGCCAGUGACUGUAAGAGUUGUCUUAGUGUGAAAAAUCAGGCCCAGGGAUUCAGUGCUAAGGCUGUCGUCCUGGAGGAGCAGCUCAGGACUGUGGGAAUUCCUGGGCUGUUUGUUCACUCAUGAUUUUGGAAAGGCAAAUUCUGUAACUUCAGGAGCUGUCUUCCUCAUGUUUAACCCAUGCCUUCAGAUCAUGGGAGGGAGAGUCUGCUUCCACUGAAAUCCACUCCUUGCUGGGUGAGGACAUGGUGAGCUUCAGAGCGUGGGAAAUUCCUCUCGUGUCGCAGCACAGGCUUCAACUGAGGGAAGGAGCUCGAAGGCAUUUUGUUUAAUUGAUAACAACCGCGACAGGCCAACUGUUUGCUUUUACUAUUCUCCUGCCUUCAACGUUUAACUUCUGUUUCACUAACCAGGCAGUAAACCACAGGAGUGAAAAUAACCCCCCACCUAACUUCUAGCCACUUUUAUUUGGGUCCGUGGCGCGGUAGUGCUGUUGUGUCUGGGGGGGAACCAGCUGGAUAGAGCUGCAGCCUCCCGAGGGCUUACUGUCAUCUCUCACAGAUGUUCCUGUCAGGAGACAAAAUAGAGGAUGAUACCAGAUCUUUCAUUUAAAUGCCUGAGUUUGUUGCUGUUUAUUAAAGAGGACCACCUGACUGCAUGUUUUGUGCACCAGGUGCACAUCAUUCAGCAGUGCUGCCGUCUGUUUCACUCAAAGCACUAUUUCAGAAAGUUAAGUAUGCAGUAAAAGAAGCCUUCAUCUUAUCGGCUCAGAUUCAUGGAAAGGGAAGAAGUGAGGAGAGAUCACUUGGAACACUGGGGAACUCAUUUUUUCUCCCAGGAUGAACUGAAAAUCUUGCUUGGUACCACUCAAGAUGCAUGCAGAAAAAUCUGGGGUGUGAAACGCGUAACAAAUCCCCACCAUCCCUGCAAGAGAAAUGAUAAAAAGCCCUUCUCCUCGAAGGGAGCAGCGUAAAAUUGGCCAUAAAGUAUGUAGAUGGUUUGUGGUGGUGCAGACUGUGUACAAACACGAGGAGGUGCCUUCCUGCAACAUCAAUACCGAUGUUUUUCAGGCACCCCCCUCAUGAGGUGAUUUGCAAGCAGCUCCUUCAGCUCUUCGUUACUCUGCGGUGCUGCGGGAUCUAUCUUUGUCCUCUCGAGGAUGCUUUCUGCUGCCCCUCGCCGAGCACAGCAGAUAGCUUGAGAAGCCACAAAGCGUGCUCCUGGGUCGCAUCCGCUCUUUGUAGGGAAACAAACCCUCUCCCAAUCGAUCAUCAACAG